rnacentral:rRNA from 1 species
CAGCCGCCGCGGUAAUACGGAGGAUCCGAGCGUUAUCCGGAAUUAUUGGGUUUAAAGGGUGCGUAGGCGGCAUGCUAAGUCAGGGGUGAAAGACGGUGGCUCAACCAUCGCAGUGCCUUUGAUACUGGUGUGCUUGAAUGUACAUGAGGUAGGCGGAAUGAGACAAGUAGCGGUGAAAUGCAUAGAUAUGUCUCAGAACACCAAUUGCGAAGGCAGCUUACUAAGGUAUGAUUGACGCUGAUGCACGAAAGCGUGGGGAUCAAACAGGAUUAGAUACCCCCGUAGUCCCUGUCUCUUAUAC